UUCCCACGAGCCCUGGGGCGGUUUUGAGACUGGAGGCGGGAGUGGGUUGGACGCGCGUCCCGGCUCCUGAGACCCAGCUGGAGUUUCAGAGUCAGAAAAGAAGGCACAGAUGUAAAACCAGUUUACAUUCAGAAGAAACAGAAUCAAAGAAUGCUCUCUACCUAGCUGCCUCCUCAACAGUGACAGUCAGGAAAAUGUGACCAUCACUGCGUUAGCAGAAAGCCGAGAAACCAUUGGUGAACCGUCCUGACAAACUCCCUGUUAUGGUGGAGCUUACAUUCUGGUGAAAAGUUUCAGGUGUACAAUACAGUGAUUCAACAGUUCCAUACAGUACUCAGUGCUCAUCAUGUCAGCUUUUGGAGUUCCGGAGCUUCCUUCUUAAAUUUGCAUGUGCCAAGAUAGUGCAGAAGAGACCAGAGAAGGUACAUCUGGGAGAAAGAUGCUAGUGAAGACUAAGUGAGAGAGGAUACAUGGGGAAUGACUAGCCAAGCAGGAGUUUCGGCAGGAGCUAACAGGCAAGUAGGAGCAAGUUCCGGAAAGGGCCACACCUGCUAAGAAAAGGAGCAACUCCUUCAUCCGGGAACAAAGCAAGCUUAUCAUAAAAGACAACAUCUGCAAAGCUAGAGGAAGAAACAGGUCACCGAUGGACCCUGAGGCUCCUGCCAGCCCCGACAAUCUCCUAUUUCAAGCAGACAUCGAAUAAAUAUUUGCUGAACAAACAGACAAAAUAAACUCUCUGUCCAAGGGGCCCGGCCAAGCGCCCACCAGAGAGCCAGCCAGGACACAGGUCACAUUCGGGCGCUGGUUCCACACGCCAGUGUUUGGGGGUGGAGAGCACACCACACUCCCCAUCCAAGA